rnacentral:lncRNA from 1 species
GAUCGAGAGAGCUAGGGUUGCGAGGGAGGGGAGAGGUCAAGGGGACGAAGAGGAUCGAAGGAAAGGGUCGGUGAGGAGAGGAGAUGAGAGAUAGAGAGAGCAACCGGGAUCGAAAUGGAGGCGGUAUCGAAGAUGCGGAGUAGCAGGGAUCGAAGAGGCGGAAGAAAAAGGAGCGGAGUUGGAAGACGAAGGUGAGGAGCGAAGGACCAAGGAAAAAAUUAAGGGGCUGUUUAGUUGUACGCAUUUGCAACUGCAUGCGUGCAGCCACAAUUCCUUUGUUUGGUUUAGUGUAGUUGAGUUCAACUGCUGCAGUUCCAACUGCACAAGAAGGCCCAAAUGCUGCAGUUGGAACUACAUCCAAAUUGGUCGUAGUUCCAACUGCAGCAGUUGGUCAGGGAUAGGAUCACCCACAAAUUAAUAAUAAUAAAUAAAUAAAUAAAUAGCUAAAUAAAUAAAUAAUAU